GUGGGGUGUUUACUUGUUAUUGACUCUUGAAAAAAAGAAAAAAAGAAAAAGAGAAAAAGAGAAAAAGAAAAAAAGAGAAAAAGAGAAAAAGAGAAAAAGAGAAAAAGAGAAAAAAAGAAAAAAGAAAAAAAGGAAAAAAGGAAAAAAAAGAAAAAGAGAAAAAGAAAAAAAGAGAAAAAGAGAAAAAAAGAAAAAAAGAAAAAAAAAAGAAAAAAAUUCUUUUUGGGCCGGGGAGAUGGUUCACUUGAUAAAGUACUUGGCGUGCUAAAAUAAAGACCAAGGAGUUUGGAUCCUGGCGUCUGUGUAAAAGCCUUGAAUAGAGGUCUGUGCUCGGGAAAGAGGCAGGGUGGAAGCAGGAGGAUCCCUGGAACUUGCUGGCUUGCCAGUGUAGCCAGUGAGUGAGCUCUGGGUUUGGUUAAAAAUCUGCCUCAAGGGCUGGAGAGAUGGCUCAGCGGUUAAGAGCACCGACUGCUCUUCCAGAGGUCCUGAGUUCAAUUCCCAGCAACCACAUGGUGGCUCACAACCAUCUGUAAUGGGAUCUGAUGCCCUCUUCUGGUAUGUCUGACAGCUAUAGUGUACUCAUAUAAAUAAAAUAAAUAAAUCUUAAAAAAAAAAAGAAAAAUCUGCCUCAAAAAGAUAAAUGUAGACAGAGAUAUAGCAGAAGACAUCACCUGAAACUCUGCCCUCACGUGCACGAGUACCUGCAUACACACCACACACAUCAGAACUUUUGUUUACUGAUUUGUUCAUGUACUUUGCAAAUUAAGGAAAUGAGUUCUUAUACUCUCAUCUCUGUUGCAAAUCAGCUGUCCUUAAUUGUUUUUGGUAUAACCCUUAUUCCUUAGGAUCUCAGAUGACAGAGCUUGGAGUCAGCCUGCCUAGUUGGAGACCUGACUCUAUCACCUAACUAACUGUAUGCGCUUGGGUAGCUACUCUGAUCUUUCUGCGCCCUGUUGUUCCUAUCUCUACAACACUGGUAAUAGUGCUACUUCUUGCCCAAGUCAUUGGGUAAGUUAAGUGAGAUAACAUUCUGCCUUGUAAAUGGAUGUAGAAUUAUAAAAACAUUUUAGAAAACAUUGAAGAUAGAAGAUAGAAUCUAAAGUUGAAGGAAACAUAAUGACGCUACAGAUGGUCUGAAGUUGGACGUAAGAGAUUAGGUCUACCACGGAUUGUGGACAUUCUGUGCACAUUCCUCUUCCUUCCCGUGAAUGUAUCAAAAGGCAGAGUAGUGGAGAGUUGAUAGUCCAGUUUAAGUUAUAUUUCUCUUGAUAAGUGUGUGUAUUUGAAUUAAUAUGAGGUAAAUGACCAUGGGAGAUGAUCAAGGAGUGGCCAAUGUGAUCUUAGCGCCAAAAGAAGCACAAGGACACUAUGUCCAUUACAGAAAAACCUGUCUUGCUUUGAGCAUUUCUCUUCGCCUUGUGGCUGGGCCAGCUCCGGCCGUGCCCACCUCCUGUCACUGGCUACAUUUUCUGUAGAGUUAUUUUAAGCUACCAAUGGAAAGUGUGAAGACCUAGUUCUUGGCUUUGACUGCUGGGAGGUGUGUGGCUGCGACAGUGGGCUCUGACGAGGCCACCUGUUUCCACGCAGGCAGUCAGUACUGUGCAUUUCCUGUAGCUGAGGAGCCAUCACUGAGCCCUGGGCUCUUCUCCUCCUGAGCAGACUGCUGGCAGUUCUGUGUGCAGAGUCUUUGGAUACUGACGGAGUUGCUGCCCAGAACUUGGUUCAUGGACUUCGGAGUCGCUUUCCUCCUAGCUGUGUGACGUUGGGCUAUCUCGUCUAAAGCUCAGCAUCUCAUCUAUGCUCAGAUCUUGGCUGUUGUUGAAUCAUUUUAUUCUGCUGAGAUGUUAGCAUCACUUACUAUUUAAAAUAAAAAAGUACUUAUAGUUUAUAGGUGGUUUUACACACACCUGAACUCAUUUAAACCCACCAGCAUCCCUUUGAGUUUGCCACUGUGACUCAGGCUCUGUAUGUGUGUAUGUGUCUCCCUUAGACCCUAUCUCAACAAAACAUAAUGAAACAAAAGGGAAACAUGAUGUACUUCAGUGCUAGAACUUGCGCAACAUGUGCUAGGCCCUAGGUUCAAGUCCCGGCAUUGGAGGAAAAAAAAUUACAUCAUUUGUUAAGUAUAGCAGCUCACACCUGUAAUCCUAGCACCUGGAGACUGAACCAGGACUAUUGCCAAGAGUUUAGUGUCAGCCUGGGCCACAGAGUGAGACAAAGUCCCCUAAAAAGGGAGAAAGGAAACCAAAGGCAAUAUAUUUAAAACUGAAUAUAAAAUUGAAUAAAAUGAGUCUUAACCAGCACUUAAAAAUGAUAGAACAGGAAAUCUUUGAGUUUACUGGUGAGCACUGUGCUGUGAAGCUGCUUCUGCAUUGAGCGGUUGUGUGUGCCUGUUUGUGUGUGUGUGUGUGUGUGUGUGUGUGUGUGCACGUAUUGCAUGUAAAGUGGCUUGUAGUAGCCAGAAAAAAAUUCCAAACCUCCAACCUCACCUGUAUGUCUCUGUGUGUCUGAGCUGUGGGAGGUGCCCCCUGAGGGAAGGAGCCAGGCCGUGUGUGUCCAGGCUCUGAUUUACUCAUGUCGUUGUGUCCUGUGUGGCUGGAAGCCAUCAUGUGGGUGCAGGAAUGACUAAGUUCUCCAGAGAGACUUAGGCAGACACAGGGCUGUGAGUCCCAAUAGGGCCUGUGUUUCUUGCUGCCAGAGGAUCUUGGUGGAAGAAACCAUGGGUCAGUGCUUGACAUUUUGGCAAGCGUGCUUGGUAGAGAGCUCCAGGCACCACCUGGUCCAUUGGUUUAAAUUCCAUUCUCCUUUUGGCUACCAAGGAUCACAUCUAAGGCUUCGUGAAUGCCUGGCAAGGACUUGACCUGCUCAGCUUCUUAGGCUUGGGUACUUUAGAUGAGAACUUGUGGCCAGCACAGGGUGGCUGAGACCCUUGGAAGCCACCACCAUCCACGAGGUAGGGGGAGUGGGGGUGCACAGUGUGGAGCCCUGACAGUCCUGGCAUUACCCUCGGCCCGGAACUGAUUUGCAUGGGGUUGAGCCAACCUCAUCUAGGCGUCUGUUAGUGCUAACCCAGCACCCAUGUUCAUUCCAUUCCCAUGCUAGUUUAUUUAUUUUUAUAUUUUAAACUUUUACUAUCAUUACUUUAAGAACUUUUAAUUUUUAUCUUAUGUGUGUGGAUAUUUUGCUUGCAUGUAUGCCUGUGCAUUACACACAUGCCUGCAGAGGCCAUCAGGGGAUGUUGGGUCCUGUAGAGCUGCAGUUAUGAAUGGUUGUAAGCCACCACGUGGGUGAUGGGAACCAACCACAGGUCCUCUGCAAGAGCAGCUGGUACUCUUG
rnacentral:lncRNA from 1 species